rnacentral:rRNA from 1 species
UACGUAGGGUGCGAGCGUUGUCCGGAAUUAUUGGGCGUAAAGGGCUCGUAGGCGGUUUGUCGCGUCGGGAGUGAAAUCCACUGGCUUAACUGGUGGCUUGCUUUCGAUACGGGCAGACUGGAGGUAUGCAGGGGAGAACGGAAUUCCUGGUGUAGCGGUGAAAUGCGCAGAUAUCAGGAGGAACACCGGUGGCGAAGGCGGUUCUCUGGGCAUGUCCCGACGCUGAGGAGCGAAGUGUGGGAGGCGAACAGG